rnacentral:lncRNA from 1 species
UCGAUCUGAUCAAUUAGGCGGUUGCUGUCCAAAUGACUAGAUUACCCCCAUAAGAAUCCCUAUAAAUAGGAGGCAUCCUCCACUCAUUAAAGGCAGGUCAUUUGAAGUGGAAGAAUAGUCCUAGCGAAGCAGAGCUCUGCACACUUGAGUUUCGGUCCGAUUUCCCACGGAGUUCCUCGCUUGGCGCUUGCUUGCGCGUCUAAGUACUGGUCGGGUUUCACCCCCAUCACUUCUUAAAUACGGGUUUAGGACAGAAGUUAAAUUUUGUGAUUCUUAGGAUUGAUUCUUGAAAUUUCUCUUUAAAUAUUUUUUGUUGCAACUUGAGAUUUUAUUUUCAGAUUCGCAAAUUGUGCAACAUCCUCAGG